rnacentral:rRNA from 1 species
UGGGGAAUUUUGCACAAUGGGGGAAACCCUGAUGCAGCGACGCCGCGUGAUUUAGAAGGCCUUCGGGUUGUAAAAAUCUUUUUUACGGGAUGAAAAUGACAGUACCGUAAGAAUAAGGUCCGGCUAAAUACGUGCCAGCAGCCGCGGUAAUACGUAUGGAACGAGCGUUGUCCGGAAUCAUUGGGCGUAAAGGGUACGUAGGAGGCCUAGUAAGUUAGAAGUGAAAUAAUAUAGAUCAACUAUAUAAAGCUUUUAAAACUGCUAGGCUUGAGAGAUGGAAGGGAAAGUGGAAUUCCUAGUGUAGCGGUGAAAUGCGCAGAUAUUAGGAAGAAUACCGGUGGCGAAGGCGACUUUCUGGUCAUCAUCUGACGCUGAGGUACGAAAGCGUGGGUAGCAAACAGG